UACGUAGGGUGCGAGCGUUGUCCGGAAUUAUUGGGCGUAAAGCGCACGUAGGCGGUCCGUUAAGUCGGAUGUGAAAGCCCCCGGCUCAACCGGGGAAGUGCAUCCGAAACUGGCAGGCUAGAGUACGAAAGAGGGUCGCGGAAUUCCCGGUGUAGAGGUGAAAUUCGUAGAUAUCGGGAGGAACACCGGUGGCGAAGGCGGCGACCUGGGUCGAUACUGACGCUGAGGCACGAAAGCGUGGGGAGCAAACAGG
rnacentral:rRNA from 1 species